GUUUACUUGUUGUAUAAAUACAUCAAUUGACAUCAAUGAAAUUCAAUUCAGCCAAUUCUUCUUCUUUUCAUGGUAUCAGAGCAGGGACUAAUUAAAAUCCUGACUUUAUUGUAGCCACACUAUACUUUCUCGUGCAACAAUCUCUCAUCCUUUGGCCACCAUGGUUGAUGAAAGGAAUCCUACCUCUUCUGGAACAUCAAAACCAGACUCAUCAAAG
rnacentral:lncRNA from 1 species